UACGUAGGGGGCUAGCGUUGUCCGGAAUCAUUGGGCGUAAAGAGCGUGUAGGCGGCUCGGUAAGUCCGCUGUAAAAGUCAAAGGCUCAACCUUUGAAUGUCAGUGGAUACUGCCGGGCUAGAGUCCGGAAGAGGCGAGUGGAACUCCUGGUGUAGCGGUGGAAUGCGCAGAUAUCAGGAAGAACACCAACGGCGAAGGCAGCUCGCUAGGACGGUACUGACGCUGAGACGCGAAAGCGUGGGGAGCGAACAGG
rnacentral:rRNA from 1 species